rnacentral:rRNA from 1 species
AUUGAACGCUGGCGGCAUGCCUUACACAUGCAAGGCGAACGGUAACAGGUCUUCGGAUGCUGACGAGUGGCGAACGGUUGAGUAAUACAUCGGAACGUGCCUAGUAGUGGGUGAUAACUACUCGAAAGAGUGGCUAAUACCGCAUGAGAUCCACGGAGGAAAGCAGGGGAUCGCAAGACCUUGUGCUACUAGAGCGGCCGUUGGCAGAUUAGGUAGUUGGUGGGAUAAAAGCUUACCAAGCCUACGAUCUGUAGCUGGUCUGAGAGGAGGAUCAGCCACACUGGGACUGAGACACGGCCCAGACUCCUACGGGAGGCAGCAGUGGGGAAUGUUGGACAAUGGGCGCAAGCCUGAUCCAGCAAUGCCGCGUGCAGGAUGAAGGCCUUCGGGUUGUAAACUGCUUUUGUACGGAACGAAAAGCCCCGGGUUAAUACCCUGGGGUCAUGACGGUACCGUAAGAAUAAGCACCGGCUAACUACGUGCCAGCCGCCGCGGUAA